rnacentral:rRNA from 1 species
GAUGAACGCUGGCGGCGUGCCUAAUACAUGCAAGUCGAGCGAACUGAUUAGAAGCUUGCUUCUAUGACGUUAGCGGCGGACGGGUGAGUAACACGUGGGCAACCUGCCUGUAAGACUGGGAUAACUUCGGGAAACCGAAGCUAAUACCGGAUAGGAUCUUCUCCUUCAUGGGAGAUGAUUGAAAGAUGGUUUCGGCUAUCACUUACAGAUGGGCCCGCGGUGCAUUAGCUAGAUGGUGAGGUAACGGCUCACCAAGGCAACGAUGCAUAGCCGACCUGAGAGGGUGAUCGGCCACACUGGGACUGAGACACGGCCCAGACUCCUACGGGAGGCAGCAGUAGGGAAUCUUCCGCAAUGGACGAAAGCCUGACGGUGCAACGCCGCGUGAGUGAUGAAGGCUUUCGGGUCGUAAAACUCUGUUGUUAGGGAAGAACAAGUACGAGAGUAACUGCUCGUACCUUGACGGUACCUAACCAGAAAGCCACGGCUAACUACGUGCCAGCCGCCGCCGUAAAAC